rnacentral:rRNA from 1 species
CCUACGGGAGGCAGCAGUGGGGAAUAUUGGGCAAUGGGCGCAAGCCUGACCCAGCAACGCCGCGUGAAGGAAGAAGGCUUUCGGGUUGUAAACUUCUUUUCUCAGGGACGAAGAAAGUGACGGUACCGGAGGAAUAAGCCACGGCUAACGACGUGCCAGCAGCCGCGGAAAUACGUAGGUGGCAAGGGUUAUCCGGAUUUAUUGGGUGGAAAGGGCGUGUAGGCGGGAGAGCAAGUCAGAUGUGAAAACUCAGGGCUCAACGCUGAGCCUGCAUUUGAAACUGUGUUUCUUGAGUGCUGGAGAGGCAAUCGGAAUUCCGUGUGUAGCGGUGAAAUGCGUAGGUAUACGGAGGAACACCAGUGGCGAAGGCGGAUUGCUGGACAGUAACUGACGCUGAGGCGCGAAAGCGUGGGGAGCAAACAGGAUUAGAUACCCCUGUAGUC